AAAAAAUCAAUAUAAUUAAUCAGUUUUAAGUCACUAAUAUCAAUGUGAAUUUUCGAAUUCGAAUGAAUCCAAAUAAAAAAAAAUCAAAAAAUGAAUGUUAUGAUUUUACAUGCACAAAAGCAUCAAUAAUAAAGCAAUAAACAAUGUGGACCACAGGGAAUAUCUGACCCUUUGAUGAAGGGAUUGAUUUGUAGAAAUAUCGGACUUUAACAAAGACCCGAGUGUGAAAUUUGGGUUAGAUCCAUAGAGAGCUUGG
rnacentral:misc_RNA from 1 species